rnacentral:ncRNA from 18 species
ACAGUACAAACUGAGCAGACCGUGAUAUCAUAUCAUGGAGUCGGGUCGCAGAUGCGACAGUGGAAUCUUUCAUCCGCGGGACAGUA